CCAAAGGCUCUUUUCAGAGCCACCUACAACUUUCUCUAAAAGAUCG
rfam:Tinamus guttatus contig66638, whole genome shotgun sequence.